rnacentral:rRNA from 1 species
GAUCUCAAAUCAAGUAAGACUACCCGCUGAACUUAAGCAUAUCAAUAAGCGGAGGAAAAGAAACUAACAAGGAUUCCCCUAGUAACGGCGAGUGAAGCGGGAUGAGCUCAAAUUUAAAAUCUGACUGGUUUACUAGUCCGAGUUGUAGUUUAAAGAAGCGUUUUCGGUGGCAGUCUCGGUAUAAAUCCUUUGGAAUAGGGUAUCAUAGAGGGUGAGAAUCCCGUCUCUGACUGAGAAUAUGCUACUAUGUGAUACGUUUUCAAAGAGUCGAGUUGUUUGGGAAUGCAGCUCAAAAUGGGUGGUAAAUUUCAUCUAAGGCUAAAUAUUGGCGAGAGACCGAUAGCGAACAAGUACCGUGAGGGAAAGAUGAAAAGAACUUUGAAAAGAGAGUUAAACAGUGCGUGAAAUUGUUAAAAGGGAAACGC